GAUGAACGCUAGCGGGAGGCCUAACACAUGCAAGCCGAGCGGUAUUGUUUCUUCGGAAAUGAGAGAGCGGCGUACGGGUGCGGAACACGUGUGCAACCUGCCUUUAUCUGGAAGAUAGCCCACCGAAAGGUGGAUUAAUAUUCCAUAAUAUAUUGAUUGGCAUCAGUUAAUAUUGAAAGCUCCGGCGGAUAAAGAUGGGCACGCGCAAGAUUAGAUAGUUGGUGAGGUAACGGCUCACCAAGUCUGCGAUCUUUAGGGGGCCUGAGAGGGUGAUCCCCCACACUGGUACUGAGACACGGACCAGACUCCUACGGGAGGCAGCAGUGAGGAAUAUUGGACAAUGGGUGCAAGCCUGAUCCAGCCAUCCCGCGUGAAGGAUUAAGGUCCUAUGGAUUGUAAACUUCUUUUCUACAGGGAUAAACCUAUUUACGUGUAAAUAGCUGAAGGUACUGUAGGAAUAAGCACCGGCUAACUCCGUGCCAGCAGCCGCCGUAAGAC
rnacentral:rRNA from 1 species